rnacentral:ncRNA from 1 species
CAGAGUAGAGAUAUAUGCGUUAAGUAUUGGCUGAACGGGGAGUUGUCAGCCGGGCGAAAAGAUUUUCUUGCGGUAUAUAUCUCGCAUCCCACUGU